GUGGGGAAUAUUGGACAAUGGGGGCAACCCUGAUCCAGCCAUGCCGCGUGUGUGAAGAAGGCCUUCGGGUUGUAAAGCACUUUAAGCGGGGAGGAAGGUUCGCUGGCUAAUAUCCAGCGGAAUUGACGUUACCUGCAGAAUAAGCACCGGCUAACUCUGUGCCAGCAGCCGCGGUAAUACAGAGGGUGCAAGCGUUAAUCGGAAUUACUGGGCGUAAAGCGCGCGUAGGCGGUUGUGUAAGUUGGAGGUGAAAUCCCCGGGCUUAACCUGGGCACUGCCUUCAAAACUGCACGGCUAGAGUAUGGGAGAGGAAGGUAGAAUUCCAGGUGUAGCGGUGAAAUGCGUAGAGAUCUGGAGGAAUACCGAUGGCGAAGGCAGCCUUCUGGCCUAAUACUGACGCUGAGGUGCGAAAGCAUGGGGAGCAAACAGGAUUAGAAACCCCUGUAGUCC
rnacentral:rRNA from 1 species